GAUGAACGCUGGCGGCGUGCCUAAUACAUGCAAGUCGAGCGAACGGACGAGAAGCUUGCUUCUCUGAUGUUAGCGGCGGACGGGUGAGUAACACGUGGAUAACCUACCUAUAAGACUGGGAUAACUUCGGGAAACCGGAGCUAAUACCGGAUGAUAUUUUGAACCGCAUGGUUCAAAAGUGAAAGACGGUCUUGCUGUCACUUAUAGAUGGAUCCGCGCUGCAUUAGCUAGUUGGUAAGGUAACGGCUUACCAAGGCAACGAUGCAUAGCCGACCUGAGAGGGUGGUCGGCCACACGGGAACUGAGACACGGUCCAGACUCCUACGGGAGGCAGCAGUAGGGAAUCUUCCGCAAUGGGCGAAAGCCUGACGGAGCAACGCCGCGUGAGUGAUGAAGGUCUUCGGAUCGUAAAACUCUGUUAUUAGGGAAGAACAUAUGUGUAAGUAACUGUGCACAUCUUGACGGUACCUAAUCAGAAAGCCACGGCUAACUACGUG
rnacentral:rRNA from 1 species